rnacentral:ncRNA from 1 species
GUGUUGUUUGGAAGGAGAGCAAGUUAGCACUCCCCUAGACAAGGAUGGAACACACAAAUGAGCGGCUAGGCACAAGACAAUGCCGUUCUCAAGUUUUUUU